ensembl:lncRNA
UAUUGACAUGUGUCCAAACACAUCAUGAGUAUUGAGUGGGACAGACACAACUGUUGAGCCUUCUGGAGGUGUUCUGGGCCUAAUUAAACCGAACAUUGACAAAGGAAGGUGUCCACUUAACAACCCCAGUGAAAUACUCACAAAGGCAUCAUUUUUGUUGUUAAGUAUCGGUAUGUUGUUGUAGUGCACCCUGUUGUUAUAAUACUUUGUCUAGGUUGUUGGGUAUGAGUACUUGAAUGUGACCAGAAGAGGUUUGGCCACUGAGAGAAGUCCCCAAACAAUACAAGAGGAAUUUAACAUCUUUUCCUGUGUAGAACUAAAAGAAAACAUUAAAUACAUUGAUUUUGCAUCACCAAUAUUUCCUGGUUUAUUGUGUUCUUUGUGGCUUGUCUGGGUCAUUUCUUUGUUCUUCUAACUUGAGACAGGAGAGGUACCCAUGAUCUCAACUCCCCGCUGGUGUGAAAGGAAUAUCUUGGUUGUUCAGGGGAUGCUAAACAUCGUACUGUGGACUGUUUGUUGUUGAAAUGGUUUCCUAUGGUGUCUUUUGGAACUAGACACCAUAGAUACUGUAAACGUAGCCUGCCAGAGGUUACUCUAGGUUAUGACACUAAAUACAUUCUAUGUCACUGUCAGUACUGUAGUGUAGACAUCAUUUCACCACCAUGUUACUCUUUACACUCUCCCAGUACAGUUUGAGUUGUGCAGCCAUAUAUUUUAGUCCUCUCCUCAGCAUGCAGAUCAGCUCAUCUCACCCCUUUGAACCCAGCAUAAGGGCCCCUGCUUAAUCCAUGUGUUUAUUUCUGUACGAAACAGGGUUGUUUGGAGGUGAUGUAUAAUAACCUCACUACUCCUGAAGCCCUUGUGCCUUCAUCGGAUCUGUAUAUGAUUUUUACCUACAAUAAAUUGGCUAAGAGGACAGUCUGGAAAGUGAAUGUGCGUGAGUUGGAGGUUGGCUUGGAACAUGCUCUGUGGGACUGAGUGUCUGGGGACUGCUGUCGUCUUGGUUGCGGUCCCCAGCCUGGGAAUAAGGGAUGCAUGAGAUUCAAACAGACAGAAAGGACAGAGGGUUAUCGCUCUCCUACACACCUGAACAACAGCAGGGCAAGCUCAGGUGAAGUAUGCUUCCUGUGAGCCUGUUGGUGCUGGCUGCUGUGUGUAUGACUGGAACACUGGGUCAGCUUCAUGACCAGAACCCUGACCUGUCAGUGAAACCAGAAGCCAAACCACCUCCUCCAGACUCUCUCCACCCAGGUUAUGGACAGGCCACCCAUGCAGCUAAAGACAACAACAAACUGGGCG